UGGGGAAUAUUGGACAAUGGGCGCAAGCCUGAUCCAGCCAUGCCGCGUGAGUGAUGAAGGCCCUAGGGUUGUAAAGCUCUUUCACCGGUGAAGAUAAUGACGGUAACCGGAGAAGAAGCCCCGGGUAACUUCGUGCCAGCAGCCGCGGUAAUACGAAGGGGGCUAGCGUUGUUCGGAUUUACUGGGCGUAAAGCGCACGUAGGCGGACUAUUAAGUCAGGGGUGAAAUCCCGGGGCUCAACCCCGGAACUGCCUUUGAUACUGGUAGUCUUGAGUUCGAGAGAGGUGAGUGGAAUUCCGAGUGUAGAGGUGAAAUUCGUAGAUAUUCGGAGGAACACCAGUGGCGAAGGCGGCUCACUGGCUCGAUACUGACGCUGAGGUGCGAAAGCGUGGGGAGCAAACAGG
rnacentral:rRNA from 1 species